UACGUAGGGUGCGAGCGUUGUCCGGAAUUAUUGGGCGUAAAGGGCUCGUAGGCGGUUUGUCGCGUCGGGGAGUGAAAACUCAGGGCUUAACCCCUGAGCCUGCUUCCGAUACGGGCAGACUAGAGGUAUGCAGGGGAAGAACGGAAUUCCUGGUGUAGCGGUGAAAUGCGCAGAUAUCAGGAGGAACACCGGUGGCGAAGGCGGCC
rnacentral:rRNA from 1 species